rnacentral:rRNA from 1 species
GCUAUCAAUAAGCGGAGGAAAAGAAACUAACAAGGAUUCCCCUAGUAACGGCGAGUGAAGAGGGAAAAGCUCAAAUUUUAAAUCUACCUGGUUCCCAGGUCGAAUUGUAAUUUGAAGAAGCGAUAUCUGUGUUGAGGUCUGGUUCAAGUUCUUUGGAACAAGACAUCAUGGAGGGUGAGAAUCCCGUGCAUGAUCAGACCAAGAUACUUAAUAUUCGUUUUCUAAGAGUCGAGUUGUUUGGGAAUGCAGCUCAAAUUGGGUGGUAGACUUCACCUAAGGCUAAAUAUCAGCGAGAGACCGAUAGCGAACAAGUACUGUGAAGGAAAGAUGAAAAGCACUUUGAAAAGAGAGUUAAAUAGUACGUGAAAUUGUUGAAAGGGAAACGAUUGAAGUCAGUCAUGCUAGUGAAAAUUCAGUUUGACGGGUUUUGGGUUUAGGAGUAAGAGAUAGGGUCAAACCGUCUCUCUUUUAAACUUGGGAUUUGUCGGAUGCACUUUUUCUUUGGCAGGUCAGCGUCGAUUUCGGGGGUUGUAAAAUACUUGGGGGAAAGUAGCUCUGCUUCGGGAGAGUGUUAUAGACCUUGGGAGAUGCAGCUUGCGGGAUCGAGGAUUGCAGCAAAUGCCUUUGGCUUGUCGCCUGAUCUUUGAUUGUUACCUCGUUUAUGACAACAUUCUUGUCAUCGAUGAGUACUAAUGGUUAUGGGUUAGAAC